rnacentral:rRNA from 1 species
UACGUAGGGUGCGAGCGUUAAUCGGAAUUACUGGGCGUAAAGCGUGCGCAGGCGGUUCGUUGUGUCGGCGGUGAAAGCCCCGGGCUCAACCUGGGAAUGGCCGUUGAAACUGGCGAACUGGAGUGUGGCAGAGGGGGGUGGAAUUCCGCGUGUAGCAGUGAAAUGCGUAGAGAUGCGGAGGAACACCGAUGGCGAAGGCAGCCCCCUGAGCUAACACUGACGCUCAGGCACGAAAGCGUGGGGAGCAAACAGG